rnacentral:rRNA from 1 species
UACGGAGGGUGCAAGCGUUAUCCGGAUUCACUGGGUUUAAAGGGUGCGUAGGUGGAUCGGUAAGUCCGUGGUGAAAUCCCUGAGCUUAACUCAGGAACUGCCGUGGAUACUAUCGAUCUUGAAUGCCGUGGAGGUAAGCGGAAUAUGUCAUGUAGCGGUGAAAUGCUUAGAUAUGACAUAGAACACCAAUAGCGAAGGCAGCUUGCUACGCGGUAAUUGACACUCAGGCACGAAAGCGUGGGGAGCAAACAGG